UUUUCUUUUCUUCUCCUUCCCGAAGCUUCCUCUCCUCCCUUCUUCUUCUUCACCGAGACCCCCCUAUCCCACUGAAGAAGGAGGGAAUGGGGCUCCGGCCGACUGCAGCCCCCUGCCGAGAGCCAGCAGCGACUGCGUCCGAGAACCGUGUACGGAGUCCCUCCUCUAUUUUAUUUUGGAACAGGAAAAAUAAAGAAGAAACAGGAUGAUCAGGGAGCUUACCUGGG
rnacentral:lncRNA from 1 species